rnacentral:rRNA from 1 species
UACGAAGGGGGCUAGCGUUGUUCGGAAUUACUGGGCGUAAAGCGCGUGUAGGCGGGUCUUUAAGUCAGGGGUGAAAUGCCAAGGCUCAACCUUGGAACUGCCUUUGAUACUGGAGAUCUUGAGUCCGAGAGAGGUGAGUGGAAUUGCGAGUGUAGAGGUGAAAUUCGUAGAUAUUCGCAAGAACACCAGUGGCGAAGGCGGCUCACUGGCCCGAUACUGACGCUGAGGCACGAAAGCGUGGGGAGCAAACAGG